UACAAUGUUUGACUCUUCGUCUUAUUUAAAAAAAUUAUGAUUAGUAUUUUUAUUGUUGUUAGAUGAUAAAACAUUAAUACUACUUUAUGCGUGACUACUUUUUUUAAAUUUUUUUAUAAUUUUUUUAAAUAGGACGAACGGCCAAACAUUGGAUAAAAAACCC
rnacentral:pre_miRNA from 1 species